UUACUAAUCUCUCACAUUUUCCCCAACCCUUCACCCCUAUUGAAUGAUUCCAUAAAUUUAUGGAAGCCACUAUGUAUAAACUAGUAACCAGAAUAUGAAAUUCUCCUUAAUGUAAACAUAAGCCUAAACGGACACACCAACGGCAAUUAACGUAUAUGAACCCCAUACAAUAACCUAUUAAAAAAACUUGUUUUACCAAACGUUAACCUAACACAAGAACAUUUUAGGAAAGAUUUAAAGGAAGAGAAGGAACUCGGCAAAUUUUUAACCCCGCCUGUUUACCAAAAACAUCGCCUCUUGACAAAUUAUAAGAGGUCCCGCCUGCCCAAUGAUUUCUUAAAUGGCCGCGGUAUUCUAACCGUGCUAAGGUAGCACAAUAACUUGUCCUUUAAAUGGGGACUAGCAUGAACGGCACCACGAGGGUUAUACUGUCUCCUCAACCUAAUCAGUGAAACUGACCUCCCCGUGAAAAGGCGAGGAUUAACCUAUUAGACGAGAAGACCCCAUGGAGCUUUAGACCUAAAGCACACCCAAUUAUUUAAUUCCCCAAAAUUCAAGAUUUCUGACUCCCAGUCUUAGGUUGGGGCGACCACGGAGUAAAACCUAACCUCCAUGAUAAAUAGAUAAAAUCUUUAUCUAAGAGUUACAACUCUAAGAAUCAACAAACUGAUAUUUACUGACCCGGAACCCGAUCAACGAACCAAGUUACCCUGGGGAUAACAGCGCCAUCUACCUCAAGAGUUCAUAUCGACAGGUGGGUUUACGACCUCGAUGUUGGAUCAGGGUGUCCCUGUGGUGCAGCCGCUACAUAAG
rnacentral:rRNA from 1 species